rnacentral:tRNA from 1 species
CAAAAACAGCCAAUUGGAAAGCAAUAGUCAUGCUUGUAAUCCUCCAAGGUACCAACAAAUGAACUAUACCAUUUGAUCCCUCUCUCAGAG